AUUGAACGCUGGCGGCAAGCCUAACACAUGCAAGUCGAACGAGUGGCGGACGGGUGAGUAAUGUCUGGGAAACUGCCUGAUGGAGGGGGAUAACUACUGGAAACGGUAGCUAAUACCGCAUACCAUCGGAUGUGCCCAGAUGGGAUUAGCUUGUAGGUGGGGUAAAGGCUCACCUAGGCGACGAUCCCUAGCUGGUCUGAGAGGAUGACCAGCCACACUGGAACUGAGAGACGGUCCAGACUCCUACGGGAGGCAGCAGUGGGGAAUAGUGGACAAUGGGCUCAAUCCUGAUGCAGCCAUGCCGCGUGUAUGAAGAAGGCCUUCGAGUUGUAAAGUACUUUCAGCAGGGAGGCGUUACCCGCAGAAGAAACACCGGCUAACUCCGUGCCAGCCGCCGCGGUAAUAC
rnacentral:rRNA from 1 species